UACGGAGGGGGCUAGCGUUGUUCGGAAUUACUGGGCGUAAAGCGCGCGUAGGCGGACCUGCAAGUCGGGGGUGAAAGCCCGAGGCUCAACCUCGGAACUGCCUUCGAUACUGCGGGUCUCGAGUCCGGGAGAGGUGAGUGGAAUUCCAGGUGUAGCGGUGAAAUGCGUAGAUAUCUGGAGGAACACCGGUGGCGAAGGCGGCAUCCUGGACCGGUAUUGACGCUGAUGCGCGAAAGCCAGGGGAGCAAACGGG
rnacentral:rRNA from 1 species